rnacentral:rRNA from 1 species
AUUGAACGCUGGCGGCAGGCCUAACACAUGCAAGUCGAGCGGAUGACGGGAGCUUGCUCCUUGAUUCAGCGGCGGACGGGUGAGUAAUGCCUAGGAAUCUGCCUGGUAGUGGGGGACAACGUUUCGAAAGGAACGCUAAUACCGCAUACGUCCUACGGGAGAAAGCAGGGGACCUUCGGGCCUUUCGCUAGCAUGUGAGCCUGGGUCGGAUUAGCUAGUUGGUGGGGUAAUGGCCCACCAAGGCGACGAUCCGUAACUGGUCUGAGAGGAUGAUCAGUCACACUGGAACUGCGACACGGUCCAGACUCCUACGGGAGGCAGCAGUGGGGAAUAUUGGACAAUGGGCGAAAGCCUGAUCCAGCCAUGCCGCGUGUGUGAAGAAGGUCUUCGGAUUGUAAAGCACUUUAAGUUGGGAGGAAGGGCAGUAAGCUAAUAUCUUGCUGUUUUGACGUUACCGACAGAAUAAGCACCGGCUAACUCUGUGCCAGCCGCCGCCGUAAAAC